CUCGAAUUGUCUGCUGGCGAAGGAAGAGCAUCUGGAGACAAUCCUCUUUCAAGAAUUGCAAAUAAGUCCAGAUUUUGAUAAUAUGACGAGGCUUAAACAACUUCGGGUAUAUUGUGCAAUGAUCGUAUGUUACUUCUACAUAUUAUGUGUUGGCCUCACCACGUGUGCAAUGAAGCAAAAUAAUAAUAGACGAAGAAUGAUUGAACAUGAGAUUUCAUCAACAUCUACUAGACGACGCAAACAACAUGAGCAUAUUCACCGUUUAAUUUUUGAAAGUGAUAUUAAGUGCAUUGACAUGUUACGCAUGGAUCGACAUUGUUUCCAUAAUUUGUGUCAAUUGUUAACUACAACCGGUGGACUACGAGGUACAUUAAAUGUUGGUGUCCACGAGAUGAUCGCAAUAUUUUUGAACAUUUUAGCACAUCAUGUCAAGAAUAGAGUGAUUAAAUUUCAAUUCCUCCGAUCGGGCGAGACUGUAAGCCGGCAUUUCCAUGUUGUGUUAAAGUCGGUUAUUCUUUGUCACUUUGUUCUUUUGAAGAAACCAGAACCUGUAAUGGAAAACUCAAAUGACUUUAGGUGGAAGUGGUUUAAGAAUUGUCUUGGCGCAUUAGAUGGGACACAUAUACGUGUGAAUGAAAAUUUUCAUUAUUGUAGGUUUUGCCUAAAGAUGAUGACCAAAUGAAAAUUUUCUUCGGGUUACCAGACAAUAAAAAGCUUCGGUUUUGUCGUGUAUUGUCGUCGAGAAUGUCAUUUAGAGCACCAAAUAUGUAACCUCAUGAGUUUGUUUUAAUUUAAUUGGGUGAUGUUGUUUGUUUUAAAACUUA